UACGGAGGGUGCAGGCGUUAAUCGGAAUUACUGGGCGUAAAGCGCGCGUAGGCGGUUUUUUAAGUCGGAUGUGAAAGCCCCGGGCUCAACCUGGGAACUGCAUCCGAUACUGGAAGACUAGAAUGCGGGAGAGGGAGGUAGAAUUCCAUGUGUAGCAGUGAAAUGCGUAGAUAUAUGGAGGAAUACCAGUGGCGAAGGCGGCCUCCUGGCUCGACAUUGACGCUGAGGUGCGAAAGCGUGGGGAGCAAACGGG
rnacentral:rRNA from 1 species